rnacentral:rRNA from 1 species
GUUAUAGUAGCUUAUUCCAUUUGGAAGGAUUUUUGUUUAAGAAAGCUUUUCGUGCCCUUACUUUUGAGUCUAUCAGCUGCAACAAGGGCUGCCGGAACGAAUGCAUAACGCAUUGGAAUCUACCAAACAGUUCGGGCAAAAUCCUGAAGCAAGCUAAAAUGUGUUGUUUGAUGAGCCUGCGUAGUAUUAGGUAGUUGGUCAGGUAAAGGCUGACCAAGCCAAUGAUGCUUAGCUGGUCUUUUCGGAUGAUCAGCCACACUAGGACUGAGACACGGCACGGACUCCCACGAGGGGCAAUAGUGAGGAAUCUUGAACAAUGGGUGAAAGCCCGAUCUAGUAAUAUCGUAUGAUUGAAUAAUGGCAAUGACUCUUGUAAGACUCUUUCAUCGAGUGCGCGAUCAUGAAAGGACUCGAGGAAGAAGACCCGGAUAACUCCAUGUAGGCAGUCGCGGUAAGACGGGGGGCAAGUGUUCUUCAGAAUAACUGGGCGUAAAGGGGACGUAGAUGGUGAAUCGGUGUUACAUGGCUAUCGGCAUCUCGUGUCGUGAGAUGUUUUGUCAAGUCCUAUAACGAGCAAAACCCUCGUUUUGUGUUACUGCGACAUGUGCCUAACGAAAAAGUCUUUGCAACCGAAGUGAGCCGAGGAGCCGAGUGACGUGCCAGCGCUACUAGUUGAGUGCCAGCACCUAGCUUCGCUGUUAGUAUGAAGGUAGCCGGUGCCCUUCGUAGAACUUUCUAUUUCUAGUUAGCAUUGUUUUAUUAUUCCAGCUAGUGCGCUUGACUAAUAAGAUAGAAAGGGCCUUUCUCUCUUGUUUAGUAAGGUCAUGUUUUUGGCCUUAUCUUGCAGGUGACGACGAUGUCAAGUUGACGACAAAGAAAGACUCGUCAUUCAGGAGAGCCACCCGAUGGUGCGGUACGUAGUGGGUUUAGUACGCCACGCCCAAAAAAUGGCUUCGAAACAUACAAAAAGGUGUGUGCCGCACUCACGAAGGACUGCCAAUUAUAUACUGGAGGAAGGUGGGGAUGACGUCAAGUCCUUAUUGCCCUUAUGGGCUGGGCCGCACACGUGCUACAUUGGAAAUUACAAUGGGAAGCAAGGCUGUAAGGCGGAGCGAAUCCGGAAAGAUUGCCUCAGUUCGGAUUGUUCUCUGCAACUCGGGAAUAUAAUGAUUGAAUCGCUAGUAAUAGCGGAUCAGCAUGCCGCGGUGAAUAUGUGCCCGAAACAUGUACACAUAGCCCCUCACACCCUGGGAAUUGGUUUCGCCCGAAGCAUCGAACAAAUGAUAACCCAUGACUUCUGUGGAACACUAGUGCCACAAAGGCCUUUAGUGGUCUUAUUGGCGUAUACCACAGUGGGGUCUUUGACUGGGUGGAAGUCGUAACAAGGUAGCCGUAAGGGAACCUGUGGCUG